CAAAACAAAACAAUCACCUGGUCAGAAGUCCCCCUAUAAGAGCUCUUCUUCCCUUCUUGAUUUAUAUAUAUCUCUUCAUAAGAACGUGCCGUGUCCGGUGUCUCGGUAUCUUAUCCGAUACGACUCCAAUUAUGACGGUGAAGCCCGUAAAGGACCCCCAAGAACGAGUCUCUGCCUCUGUUUCUGAGCUUCACAAACCCAAGGAACUCUCGUCCACCGAGUUGGCCAUGACGUUCCAUAAUCUUUCCGGGGAGAAAGUCUCCAAGGUUGAUCGCAAGGAGGUGGCCGCGAAAGCGUCUCCGAAGUCGAGGAAGAAGGUGAAGUAUGUACACAGCCAGAUCCUGAGGAUCAGAGAGGAGGACUCGCACCUCGGCGAGGAUUUCAGUCUUGGUACCAAAGACAGCGGUCUUCUUUAUCAUCAAUAUCACGAUCUGCAUUCGGAGAUGGACGUUGUGCUGUUCUCGAGGCCCAUCUUGCCGAGUUCUCCUCUCAGCGGCAAGACCACGACCUUGAAGGCAUCAUACUGAACAAAUCAAACGAGAGUGCUAUUAAGUUUUGUUUGUGGCAGGAGUAGAGUGUGGAAUGGCAAACUCAGAAACCGAAGAGCACGAGAGGUUGAAAUCAAGUGUAUUUCUGGUCAUGCGAGGUUGAAAUCAAGUGUGUAUUUCUGGUCAUGCGAGGUUGAAAUCAAGUUUCAAAAGUGACCAGAAAAGUCAGAGAGAGAGAGAGAGAGAGAGAGAGUCUUCUAUUGUACAGUGAAGAAGCAAAUACAAUAGCUACUUUGAAACAAAUCAUGGCCUCUUUUCCACUAUUUUCCGUAGACUCGCUCGUGUUUGUAUUGAGAUGUUGGUUAGGGGUUCAAAUGGGAACAACACACGACACGUCCUCAUCCA